rnacentral:rRNA from 1 species
ACCUGUCUAAGACUAGGCCAUGCACGUCUAAGUACAAACUAAAUGAUGGUGAAACUGCAAAUGGCUCAUUACAACGGUUAUGAUGUACCCGGGAGUUCCGAUGGAUAUUUCCAGUAACACUAGAACUAAUACAUGUCCCUGCGUUUAUUAGUUUCGCACAGUCCGUCGCUGAGUCAUGGUAAACAGUUGAUCGACUCGACGUCCCGGAACAGUUUCCGCCCCAUCAGCUUCGAUGGUUGGGUAUUGGCCUACCAUUGCAACAACGGGUAACGAGGAAUUAGGGUUUGAUUUCGGAGAGGGAGCCUGAGAAACGGCUACCACAUCUACGGAUGGCAGCAGGCGCGCAAAUUACCCAAUGCAGACACUGUGCGGUAGUGACGAGAAAUAAUAAAGCGGGACUUCUGUUUCGCUAUUAUAAUGAGGAAUAACCAAAGGUCAUUCCGAUUAGCAACUGAUGGGAAAGUCUGGUGCCAGCAGCCGCGGUAAUACCAGCGUCAGUA